CCUACGGGAGGCAGCAGUGGGGAAUAUUGGACAAUGGGGGCAACCCUGAUCCAGCCAUGCCGCGUGUGUGAAGAAGGCCCUCGGGUUGUAAAGCACUUUCAGUGAGGAAGAACGCCUGGUGGUUAAUACCCAUCAGGAAAGACAUCACUCACAGAAGAAGCACCGGCUAACUCCGUGCACAGCAGCCGCGGUAAUACGGAGGGUGCGAGCGUUAAUCGGAAUUACUGGGCGUAAAGCGCGCGUAGGUGGCUUGAUAAGCCGGUUGUGAAAGCCCCGGGCUCAACCUGGGAACGGCAUCCGGAACUGUCAAGCUAGAGUGCAGGAGAGGAAGGUAGAAUUCCCGGUGUGGCGGUGAAAUGCGUAGAGAUCGGGAGGAAUACCAGUGGCGAAGGCGGCCUUCUGGACUGACACUGACACUGAGGUGCGAAAGCGUGGGUAGCAAACAGGAUUAGAUACCCCGGUAGUA
rnacentral:rRNA from 1 species